CGCGUAGGUGGUUUGUUAAGUUGGAUGUGAAAGCCCCGGGCUCAACCUGGGAACUGCAUCCAAAACUGGCAAGCUAGAGUACGGUAGAGGGUGGUGGAAUUUCCUGUGUAGCGGUGAAAUGCGUAGAUAUUAGGAGGAACACCAGUUGCGAAGGCGGCUCUCUGGACUGUAACUGACACUGAGGCACGAAAGCGUGGGGAAGCAAACA
rnacentral:rRNA from 1 species